rnacentral:rRNA from 1 species
AUGAGAGGGAGAAGAAGUAAGGAAGGGAGGGUGAACGAGAGGAAAGAGGAGAGGGAGGUGCGGCUCCGCCGCCGCCUUCUCUCCCUGCCUCUUCCGCGGUGGUCGAGGUGCAGCAGCGUGGGCGCCGCCAGGUUCUCGAUCCAGUCGGAUCUGGCGCCGGUCGCCGUCCCCGUCGCCUCGUCUUCUUUCUUUCCAACCCACCGCCUCCGAGCUUCUGCUCCUGCUACGUCUCCUUCUCCCUUCCCGCCGCGGGAGCAGUCAUCGCUGCGCCCUCGCCCCCGCACGCCGUCCUUCCGCGCGCCUCACCAGCCACCACCAGCAGCAGCGUAG